rnacentral:lncRNA from 1 species
UUCUUCCGCUGCUAAUUGUGUGAUAAGAUAGCUCGCCAGCUUAGGCAGCGUCAGCAGUUACAGCGCCGCUGUGGCACUAGCGAUGCG